rnacentral:rRNA from 1 species
UACAGAGGGGGCAAGCGUUGUUCGGAAUUAUUGGGCGUAAAGGGCGCGUAGGCGGCCUGGCAAGUGGAUGGUGAAAUCCCUCGGCUUAACCGAGGAACUGCCAUCCAGACUGCUUGGCUUGAGACCGGGAGAGGUGAGAGGAAUUCCCAGUGUAGUGGUGAAAUGCGUAGAUAUUGGGAGGAACACCAGUGGCGAAGGCGGCUCACUGGCCCGGUACUGACGCUGAGGCGCGAAAGCGUGGGGAGCAAACAGG